UACGGGUGCAGGCGUUAAUCGGAAUUACUGGGCGUAAAGCGUGCGCAGGCGGUUUGCUAAGACAGGUGUGAAAUCCCCGGGCUUAACCUGGGAACUGCGCUUGUUACUGGCAAGCUAGAGUGUGGCAGAGGGGGGUGGAAUUCCAGGUGUAGCAGUGAAAUGCGUAGAGAUCUGGAGGAACACCGAUGGCGAAGGCAGCCCCCUGGGCUAACACUGACGCUCAUGCACGAAAGCGUGGGGAGCAAACAGG
rnacentral:rRNA from 1 species